rnacentral:tRNA from 1 species
GAGGGUAAAGCUCAAGUGAUAUAGUGCAUGCUUCAUAUGCAUGAGGUCCCGGGUUCAAUCCCCAGUACCUCCU